rnacentral:rRNA from 1 species
UAACGCGAAGAACCUUACCAGGUCUUGACAUCUUCUGAUAGCCUAAGAGAUUAGGUGUUCCCUUCGGGGACAGAAUGACAGGUGGUGCAUGGUUGUCGUCAGCUCGUGUCGUGAGAUGUUGGGUUAAGUCCCGUAACGAGCGCAACCCUUAUUGUCAGUUGCCAGCAUUAAGUUGGGCACUCUGGCAAGACUGCCGGUGACAAACCGGAGGAAGGUGGGGAUGACGUCAAAUCAUCAUGCCCCUUAUGACCUGGGCUACACACGUGCUACAAUGGACGAUACAACGAGUCGCUAGACCGCGAGGUUAAGCUAAUCUCUGAAAGUCGUUCUCAGUUCGGAUUGCAGGCUGCAACUCGCCUGCAUGAAGUCGGAAUCGCUAGUAAUCGCGGAUCAGC